AGGCUGCAACUAGUGUCUACCUCUCCAGGAGAGACAGUCCACUCAUUCCUGAUUGAGGCUUGAUAUUCCAGAUGCAAACUUGUUUAUCUACACAUUUCAGAUCUAUUUCCCAAAGCUGGAGCCACA